UUGCAUAUCUAUUUUUUUUUUCAGUUUUUAUUUGAUAAAUUCAAUGAGAGCCUUGAAUUACAUCCCUUAUUCGAUUAAUUCAGUUUCUCCUCUCUCAUCUCUCUUUGAUUUUGAUUUUAAUUUCUAGAGUUUUGAUUUUGAUUUCUUGGGUUCUCAUCUCUCAUCUCUCUUUGAUUUUGAUUUGAUUUUGAAUCAGUUUCUCCAUUUGAUUAAUUUGGUAUAUAUUGUUGGUUGCAUAUCUAUUUUUUCAGUUUCUAUUCGAUUAAUUCAGUGUUUGCAUAUCUAUUAGUUUGGGAAUGUGAGAGCCUUGAAUUACAUCCCUUGUUCAAUUAACUUAUUCAGAUAUACAUGAAAAAACAGAGCAGCACUUUAUUGAAUUUAUUCGAUUAAUUCAGUUUCUCCUCUCUCAUUUGAUUUUGAUUUUGAUUUUGAUUUCUAGGGUUUCCACUUCUAUGAUUGCUCAUUUUGUUUGAAGCUCAUACACCUCUCUAGCCUUUGUCUCCACCAAAUCCCACCGCGAUCUUUGGAAAAGGGGCAAUUAAUUGAACAAGCAUAAUGUUGGAGUUGAUGCAAGUUUUAUGGAUGCAAAUCUUUCUAGAUAUGAUAGUAUUUGCAUUGGGAGGGGACAACCUGGUGGUUGCAGAAGGCCAAAUUGCAUCAAGGGGUCCUAAGUCAAAGGUGCAUCAUGUGACCCUUGGCCUUAUGUUGGAAAGUAUGGGUGAGCCACGUAAUAGUCAACGUGUCGUUGUUUCGUUCUACUCAUGAAAUGUAUAAUCUUCAAGAUGCAAUAGGAAGUAUAGUUGUAUGGCUUAGUCAAUUCAUUCUUUCGGACUAAAUAUUAGACUAAUUGAUUUACGAUUUGUAGUUAUGUUUUUUGGAUGUUUAAAGUCGUAUUUUAGAGAUUAGUGAAUCUUAUAAUUUGGAUGCUUUUCUUGGUUUAUAUAUCUGAAGUUGUUAUCAGCUUGAUAUGAUAGAAGUUGAUGAUGGAAGUUAA